rnacentral:rRNA from 1 species
GACGAACGCUGGCGGCGUGCUUAACACAUGCAAGUCGAACGGAAAGGCCCUGCUUUUGUGGGGUGCUCGAGUGGCGAACGGGUGAGUAACACGUGAGUAACCUGCCCUUGACUUUGGGAUAACUUCAGGAAACUGGGGCUAAUACCGGAUAGGAGCUCCUGCUGCAUUGUGGGGGUUGGAAAGUUUCGGCGGUUGGGGAUGGACUCGCGGCUUAUCAGCUUGUUGGUUGGGUAGGGGCUUACCAAGGCUUUGACGGGUAGCCGGCCUGAGAGGGUGACCGGCCACAUUGGGACUGAGAUACGGCCCAGACUGCUACGGGAGGCAGCAGUGGGGAAUAUUGCACAAUGGGCGGAAGCCUGAUGCAGCAACGCCGCGUGCGGGAUGACGGCCUUCGGGUUGUAAACCGCUUUAGCCUGUGACGAAGCGUGAGUGACGGUAAUGGGUAAAGAAGCACCGGCUAACUACGUG